CCUGUGAGGGUUGCUGGAGGUAUCAGAAGUGCGAAUGCUGACAUAAGUAACGAUAAAGCGGGUGAAAAGCCCGCUCGCCGGAAGACCAAGGGUUCCUGUCCAACGUUAAUCGGGGCAGGGUGAGUCGACCCCUAAGGCGAGGCCGAAAGGCGUAGUCGAUGGGAAACGGGUUAAUAUUCCCGUACUUGGUGUUACUGCGAAGGGGGGACGGAGAAGGCUAUGUUGGCCGGGCGACGGUUGUCCCGGUUUAAGCGUGUAGGUGUGUGUUCCAGG
rnacentral:rRNA from 1 species